rnacentral:rRNA from 1 species
UACAGAGGGUGCGAGCGUUAAUCGGAAUUACUGGGCGUAAAGCGCACGUAGUCGGCUUUGCAAGUCGGUUGUGAAAUCCCCGGGCUCAACCUGGGAACUGCAUCCGAGACUGCAUUGCUAGAGUAUGGGAGAGGAAAGCGGAAUUUCUGGUGUAGCAGUGAAAUGCGUAGAGAUCAUGAGGAAGACCAGUGGCGAAGGCGGGUCUCUGGACAGUUCCUGACACUGAGACACGAAGGCCAGGGGAGCAAACGGG